CACGCACGCUGGCGGCGUGCUUAACACAUGCAAGUCGAACGGAAAGGCCCUGCUUUUGUGGGGUGCUCGAGUGGCGAACGGGUGAGUAACACGUGAGUAACCUGCCCUUGACUUUGGGAUAACUUCAGGAAACUGGGGCUAAUACCGGAUAGGAGCUCCUGCUGCAUUGUGGGGGUUGGAAAGUUUCGGCGGUUGGGGAUGGAUUCGCGGCUUAUCAGCUUGUUGGUGGGGUAGUGGCUUACCAAGGCUUUGACGGGUAGCCGGCUUGAGAGGGUGAACGGCCACAUUGGGCCUGAGAUACGGACCAGACUCCUACGGGAGGCAGCAGUGGGGAAUAUUGCACAAUGGGCGGAAGCCUGAUGCAGCAACGCCGCGUGCGGAAUGACGGCCUUCGGUUUGUAAACCGCUUUCGCCUGUGACGAAGCGUGAGUGACGGUAAUGGGUAAAGAAGCACCGGCUAACUACGUG
rnacentral:rRNA from 1 species